CAUAAGCGGCAUCUCGACCUUCUUCACCUUGCUCUACGGCUUUCAGUACGGGAAGGAGUCCUCCAUUAAAUGGGUCAUCACCCUGUCGCUGUCCAUGUUCCAGAGCAUCUUCAUCAUCCAACCUCUGAAGGUUGUUGGUCUGGCCAUCUUCCUCGCUCUCAUCCUGAGGCCGGUGGCAGUCGAGGACAACCAGGAGGUUGAGAUUUUGCUAGACGAACAACGUGAAAAAUGCGAGUCAUACUGCGGACGCCACAUGCACUGAUGGUUCUGAGUAAAGUCCGGCACUCGGACGAGUAGACGGAUCCUCUUUGAUAAUGUGAUUUUGACCAAUGCAAAAAUCCUAAACUGACUCUUGAUGUAAACAACAAUCACGGUGGAGGUUUUAUCUUUUGUAUCAUAAAUGUGUACUAUAUGUAUCUUUAUUUUCCUAAUAAAAACCCAUAAUGCAUGCAAAAGUGCAGUGCAACCUGUAAGUAACUAUAAAGUGACACAACGUGCACACAGGAUUUGAAAUAAAUAACUUAAGCGGUCA